rnacentral:rRNA from 1 species
AUGUAUCUAGCACUGUUUUUGCAAGAACUUUCUGGUGAUGAAGGAGGUUUUGACAAAGCUCUUUUGAAGUUCUAUAUGAAUCAAGUGUGUUUUUCUUUCUUUGUAGUAGUUGAUUUUGUUUUUGGUUAUUUUGUUUUUUUUUUUAGGUUGACCAGUGUCUUUUUGUUUUUUCAGAAAGUAAAAUGCUUGAAUAGGAAAUUAUCAUCUGCUGGGAGAAGGAAUGUGGAACCUCGUAAUGUCUUCUUCGUCGAGGAAUCCAUUGUCUCCGUCUUGUACAUGCGAGUCAUCUGGUUCUUUCCAUUCUCCUUCAUUAUUGUGGUAUGUUUCUUGAAUUUGUUUUAG